ensembl:misc_RNA Y_RNA Y RNA
GGCUGGUCCAAAGCUAGUGAGUUAUCUCAGUUGACGGUUUAUAGCCAAAUUACAAAGUGAACUCCGUAUUCUACUCUUUCCUCCCUUUUCACUACUGCAUUUGACAAAAAA